rnacentral:rRNA from 1 species
UACAUGGAUAACUGUGGUAAUUCUAGAGCUAAUACAUGCACCCAGUCCGUUCCCUCGUGGAGCGGAUGCAGUUAUUUGCCCAAAACCAAUCCGGCCUUCGGGUCGGUCAAUUGGUGACUCUGAAUAACCGAAGCGGAGCGCAUGGUCUCGUACCGGCGCCAGAUCUUUCAAGUGUCUGACUUAUCAGCUUGUUGUUAGGUUAUGUUCCUAACAAGGCAUCAACGGGUAACGGAGUGUCAGGGCCCGACACCGGAGAGGGAGCCUGAGAAACGGCUACCACAUCCAAGGAAGGCAGCAGGCGCGCAAAUUACCCACUCCCGGCACGGGGAGGUAGUGACGAAAAAUAACGAUGCGAGAGCUUUAUGCUCCUCGUAAUCGGAAUGGGUACACUUUAAAUCCUUUAACGAGGAUCUAUUGGAGGGCAAGUCUGGUGCCAGCAGCCGCGGUAAUUCCAGCUCCAAUAGCGUAUAUUAAAGUUGCUGCGGUUAAAAAGCUCGUAGUUGGAUCUGGGUAGUCGAUGGACGGUGCGCUUUACGGCGUCUACUGUUCGUUCGGCACCACAUGCCGGCCAUGUCUUGCAUGCUCUUCACUGAGUGUGCUUGGCGACCGGAACGUUUACUUUGAAAAAAUUAGAGUGCUCAAAGCAGGCGUUAAGCCUUGCAUAAUGGUGCAUGGAAUAAUAGAAUAGGACCUCGGUUCUAUUUUGUUGGUUUUCGGARCUCGAGGUAAUGAUUAAUARGAACAGACGGGGGCAUUCGUAUUGCGGCGUUAGAGGUGAAAUUCUUGGAUCG